rnacentral:misc_RNA from 1 species
AAGUCGUAACAAGGUUUCUGUAGGUGAACCUGCAGAAGGAUCAUUUCUGAUUUUAUAUUUAUCCACCCCUUGUGAACCGUUUAUUAGAGACUGUUUGGCAGGAAGUCGCUCUUGUGAGCGCGUCGGCAAGCCCCUUAAAGGCUUACUGUGCCUGCCAACAGACUCGCUUUUAACAAACCUUUACAUAUGCUCUGAUAAAAAAAAAGUAAUUAAAACAACUUUCAACAAUGGAUCUCUUGGCUCUC